UGGGGAAUAUUGCACAAUGGGGGAAACCCUGAUGCAGCGACGCCGCGUGAACGAAGAAGGUAUUCGUAUCGUAAAGUUCUGUCCUAUGGGAAGAUAAUGACAGUACCAUAGAAGAAAGCUCCGGCUAAAUACGUGCCAGCAGCCGCGGUAAUACGUAUGGAGCGAGCGUUGUCCGGAAUUAUUGGGCAUAAAGGGUACGCAGGCGGUUUAAUAAGUCGAAUGUUAAAGAUCGGGGCUCAACCCCGUAAAGCAUUGGAAACUGAUAAACUUGAGUAGUGGAGAGGAAAGUGGAAUUCCUAGUGUAGUAGUGAAAUACGUAGAUAUUAGGAGGAAUACCAGUAGCGAAGGCGACUUUCUGGACACAAACUGACGCUGAGGUACGAAAGCGUGGGGAGCAAACAGG
rnacentral:rRNA from 1 species